ensembl:snoRNA
CCUUUGUGAUGAUUGGACAGCAUGACUUUCGAUCUUCUGAGUCUGAUAAAGACAAAUGGAUCUGGGCUGAGAGGG